rnacentral:tRNA from 1 species
GGCCCCUUAGCUCAGUCAGUUAGAGCAGACGACUCAUAAUCGUUUGGCUCAUAAUCGUUUGGUCCCCAGUUCAAGUCUGGGAGGGGCCA